rnacentral:ncRNA from 1 species
GUUUUGUAUGAAAGGAGAGAAUAUUAGCACUCCCUUGACAAGGAUGGAAGAGGCUCUCAGACCUGACAACAUGCAUGAGGUUAAGGCAUUGCCACCUACUUCAUGGCAUCUAAACAUCAUGUUGU